rnacentral:rRNA from 1 species
UACGUAGGGUGCAAGCGUUAUCCGGAAUUAUUGGGCGUAAAGAGCUCGUAGGCGGUUUGUCGCGUCUGCUGUGAAAACUGGAGGCUCAACCUCCAGCCUGCAGUGGGUACGGGCAAACUAGAGUGCGGUAGGAGAGAUUGGAAUUCCUGGUGUAGCGGUGGAAUGCGCAGAUAUCAGGAGGAACACCGAUGGCGAAGGCAGAUCUCUGGGCCGUAACUGACGCUGAGGAGCGAAAGCAUGGGGAGCGAACAGG